GCUCCAGACAAUCCUAUGACCCCUUCGCUGAGGCCGUCUAUGAAGAGAUUGAUUACAGCCUGAUGAGGGAGAAGCAGCAGGUGACUGGCCUCUCAGAUUCCUAUCCAGAGGGUUUGCCAACAAAGGCACAUUUGUACACUGAGGACAGCGAUGAAGAAAACAGUCCUGGAAUAACACAAGAGGGCCCUUCGCUGCCUGGAAAUACCCUGGAAGAUAAUUAUGAUGAUGUGACAGAAGCUCCUGGACCAACAGAGGAUCCUCUUUCCGAGCAGAAUGAACAGGAAAUCAUUGUGGUCCCUGAAGAAAGUGAAGGAAGCCGGGAUUCAGAGACUGAAUGUCAUCCAGGUGAGGAUGAAAGUGCUGCUAGUUUUCAUAAGCUAUAGCUAUUGUAAUGAACUCAGGAAAAAUGAGGCUGAAGGGUACCUCAAGGGAUCACCUAGUUCUUAAUCUAACCACUGUAAGGUGGAAC
rnacentral:lncRNA from 1 species